rnacentral:rRNA from 1 species
UACGUAGGGGGCGAGCGUUGUCCGGAAUCAUUGGGCGUAAAGCGCGUGUAGGCGGCCCGGUAAGUCCGCUGUGAAAGUCCAGGGCUCAACCCUGGGAUGCCGGUGGAUACUGUCGGGCUCGAGUCCGGAAGAGGCGAGUGGAAUUCCUGGUGUAGCGGUGAAAUGCGCAGAUAUCAGGAGGAACACCGGUGGCGAAGGCGGUUCUCUGGGCCUGUACUGACGCUGAGGAGCGAAAGCGUGGGGAGCAAACAGG